rnacentral:rRNA from 1 species
CGCCUGUUUAUCAAAAACAUGUCCUUUUGGGUUUAUUUAAGGUCUGACCUGCCCAAUGAUUUUAAAUUUAAUGGCCGCGGUAUUUUAACUGUGCUAAGGUAGCAUAAUCAUUUGUCUUUUAAUUGAAGGCUGGAAUAAAAGGUUGGACGAGGCAUUAACUUUCUUUAAUUUGAUUAAUUGAAUUUAAUUUUUUAGUUAAAAAGCUAAAAUUUUUUUAUGGGACGAGAAGACCCUAUAGAUCUUUAUAAUUUAUAUAUUAAUUUUUUUUGGGUGUUAUUAAAAAUAUAAUGUAUAAGUUAUUUAAUUGGGGUGAUUUUGGAAUUUUCUUAACUUCUAAUGGUUUUAUAUCAUUUAUUUAUGUUUUUAUGAUCCAUUUAUAAUGAUUACAAGAUUAAGUUACCUUAGGGAUAACAGCGUAAUUUCUCUGGAGAGUUCAUAUUAAUAGAGAAGUUUGCGACCCUCGAUGUUGGAUUAAAAUAAGUAAUUGGUGCCAGUAGCUAACUUACUAGGUCUGUUCGACCUUUAAAUUUUUACAUGAUCUGAGUUCAAACCGGAG